rnacentral:rRNA from 1 species
GACGAACGCUGGCGGCGUGCUUAACACAUGCAAGUCGAACGGAAAGGCCCUGCUUUUGUGGGGUGCUCGAGUGGCGAACGGGUGAGUAACACGUGAGUAACCUGCCCUUGACUUUGUGAUAACUUUAGGAAACUGGGGCUAAUACCGCAUAGGAGCUCCUGCUGCAUGGUGUUGGUUGGAAAGUUUCGGCGGUUGGGGAUGUACUCGCUGCUUAUCAGCUUGUUGGUGGGGUAGUGGAUUACCAAGGCUUUGACGGGUAGCCGGCCUGAGAGGGUGACCGGCCACACUGGGACUGAGAUACGGCCCAGACUCCUAAGGGAGGCAGCAGUGGGGAAUAUUGAACGAGGGGCGGAAGGCUGAUGCAGCAACGCCGCGUGCGGGAUAACGGCCUUCGGGUUGAAAACCACUUUCGCCUGUAACGAAGCGUGAGUGACGGUAAUGGGUACAGAAGCACCGGCUAACUACGUG